UUAAUUAGUACAGCCUGUAUUAGUAAUCUCAUCUAUUCUUUACAGGCUUUGCUAAUCUAUGC
rfam:Tetraodon nigroviridis, WGS project CAAE01000000 data, contig: CNS0BV6H, chromosome: undetermined